rnacentral:rRNA from 1 species
AGUGAACGCUGGCGGUAGGCCUAACACAUGCAAGUCGAACGGCAGCACAGUAAGAGCUUGCUCUUACGGGUGGCGAGUGGCGGACGGGUGAGGAAUACAUCGGAAUCUACUUUUUCGUGGGGGAUAACGUAGGGAAACUUACGCUAAUACCGCAUACUACCUACGGGUGAAAGCAGGGGAUCUUCGUACCUUGCGCGAUUGAAUGAGCCGAUGUCGGAUUAGCUAGUUGGCGGGGUAAAGGCCCACCAAGGCGACGAUCCGUAGCUGGUCUGAGAGGAUGAUCAGCCACACUGGAACUGAGACACGGUCCAGACUACUACGGGAGGCAGCAGUGGGGAAUAUUGGACAAUGGGCGCAAGCCUGGUCCAGCCAUACCGCGUGAGUGACGAAGGCCUUCGGGUUGUAAAGCCCUUUUGUUGGGAAAGAAAAGCAGCAGGUUAAUACCCCGCUGUUCUGACGGUACCCAAAGAAUAAGCACCGGCUAACUUCGUG